GACGUAGGGGGCCAGCGUUGUUCGGAAUUACUGGGUGUAAAGGGUUCGUAGGCGGUGCGGCAAGUCGGGAGUGAAAUCUCUGGUCUUAACCCAGAGGCUGCUUCCGAAACUGCUGUGCUUGAGUGUGGGAGAGGCGCGUGGAAUUGCAGGUGUAGCGGUGAAAUGCGUAGAUAUCUGCAGGAACACCCGUGGCGAAAGCGGCGCGCUGGACCACUACUGACGCUGAUGCGCGAAAGCCAGGGGAGCAAACGGG
rnacentral:rRNA from 1 species